rnacentral:rRNA from 1 species
AAUUGACCUCAGGAUCAGGUAGGAUUACCCGCUGAAUUUAAGCAUA